rnacentral:rRNA from 1 species
CCCUUAGAUGUUCUGGGCCGCACGCGCGCUACACUGAUGCAUUCAACGAGUCUAAAACCUGGUCUGAUAGGGCUGGGUAAUCUUUUGAAAGUGCAUCGUGAUUGGGAUAGAUGAUUGCAAUUCUUCAUCUUCAACGAGGAAUGCCUAGUAAACGCAAGUCAUCAGCUUGCAUUGAUUACGUCCCUGCCCUUUGUACACACCGCCCGUCGCACCUACCGGUUGAAUGGUCCGGUGAAAUCUCCGGACUGGCGUGAGUCGGAGCAAUCUGACAAACACCGGAAAGUUGAUUAAACCUUACCAUUUAGAGGAAGGUGAAGUCGUAACA